GGAGAAAGGAGAAAGGAGAAGAAGUUAGGGUUUGGGAGAGAGAAGAGCAGAGAAGACAAACUGUCGUUCGGGAUCGAAUCCAAGGCAAGAAACUUCGAAGCAAUACUCUUCUCGGUGCUGGAAAAGGUGCUUGGGUGGUGGAUUCACUCGUUCCGGCAAGAAAAUCCGAGAACGGACAAAGAGAGAGAAAUGUCGGCCGCGUACGGAGGAGCGAGGCGAAACCGUUAUUGACACAUGGCGAACUGCGGCUGGAGAGGCGUGUUCUACAGGCUAGGUGACACGCGUCAGGGCGCGAAUUCGGGUCAACCCGAGUCCGAACCGGCGCUCCGCACGCGACCCGGGAACCACGUGAACCAAACCGCCGCGAGACCCCUCCGACCUAUCUGAACCAACCCAUCUCGACCCACGACUGUAUAGAAUGUUGCGCGUGGACACGCGCGCAUAGAAAGCCACGCGUAAUACACCCUCCAGAGAGCGUCAAUCGCGCGUGUAGGCGAGUGCAGAGUGCGUGAGUAACCUUUUUCCCUCCGUUCGACCUCCGUUUGCUUGUUUUUUGCCCCGAUUUCAACUCUGAUCCUAAUUUUAUGUGAAUUAGGACCUAUCAAGGAAAUUUCAAAAUUUUUGGAACCUUUUCUGGCAAAUAAUUCGAGCUUGGAAAGGCACGCGUCAACCAUGUAAGUAGCCAUUUGGAUUCCCACGAGCAGUACUUGUAGGAACUGCUUGGAAUAAGCAUGCAUGAUAUCAUUCCCAUAAACUUAGCUAGCUGAACCUAGCAUAUUAGUAUGAAAACCAUGAAAAUGAAAUAAAUAAGGAAAUCUAUGACUUCUAGAUACGAAUGAUUAUGUAAACCGUUUAGAUUGAGAUUCUGAUAAUGUAUGUAUGCAUGAGGAGGAUGGGAAACUUGUGAAAUCUGCGCUCCGGGUGAAGAUGGACGUUAUCUUCCCAUUCAGCAUGUUUGUUAAUAUUGCAUGAACUGCUGCGUGUUAACUCCUA